rnacentral:rRNA from 1 species
AUUGAACGCUAGCGGGAUGCUUUACACAUGCAAGUCGAACGGCAGCGCGGACUUCGGUCUGGCGGCGAGUGGCGAACGGGUGAGUAAUGUAUCGGAACGUGCCCAGUAGCGGGGGAUAACUACGCGAAAGCGUAGCUAAUACCGCAUACGCCCUACGGGGGAAAGCAGGGGAUCGUAAGACCUUGCACUAUUGGAGCGGCCGAUAUCGGAUUAGCUAGUUGGUGAGGUAACGGCUCACCAAGGCGACGAUCCGUAGCUGGUUUGAGAGGACGACCAGCCACCUGGGAAGUGGACCCCGCCCAAGACCCCUGCGGGAGGCGGCGGGGGGAAAUUUUGGACAAGGGGGGCAACCCGGACCCGCCAACCCCGCGGGGGGGAGGAGGGCCUGCGGGUUGAAAGGCACUUUGGGGAGGAAAAAAACGCGGGGGGCUAAUACCCGGGGGAAUUGACGGUACCUGAAAAAAAAGCCCGGGCAAACUACGUG